CCAGGUACAUGCCGACACAAAAAGAAAUACACAUCACCACGUUUUGAGUUCGAGAUCGCUGAUAGAUGUUGAAUCGGUAAUCUGACUUUAACUUAACCUGCGCACGAAAAACAAAUCGUACGCUGAGUAUAAACUCAGUGGUAUUUUUAUAAUCUGAAUGCUUAAAGUAAAAUAAUAUAACAUACAAUAACUUUAGUCAUACAAUUAUUCAAUUCAUAAAUAAGGUAUUUAUAACACAUCAAAUUUUUAUCAUUUGCUAUCCCAGAUAGCUUUUCACAAUAUGAACACAAAUCAUUUGAAAAACAAUAUUGUCCAUUCAUAUUCAAUUCAUAAGUACACAAACCUUGUGUCUCUAACCAUAUUUCAAAUCACCACUCAAUAUCAAUCAUAACACUAUUUUAAUCAACAACCCCUAUUAACAUGACACGGACUCAGACGGAUACACAGAUCCAACCAAAACACACCAGUUUGGCACCCAGUGACUUAUCGAUUUAAUUCGAAGCAAUAAGUUGACACCCAGUGUCUCAUCGACCAUGCCAAAGUAAAUUGGUACCAAGUACCUCAUCGAAUUUAUCCGAAGUAAUAAUUUAACACCCAGUGUCUCAUUAACUUGAAGUCAAAGUAUCCCUGAACUCUUCCAAUCCUAUGGCAUGCCAUCUAUAUCUGACUCAGCCCGAUACAGUUAAUAGGGUUUCAAUUCACUUUUCUAAUGCCACAAUUAUCCAAUACCCAAUUAUCACAUAAAUCACAAUUUCACAUAUAUUCAAUUCAAUGUAAAAACUUCUAACAAAUACCUUAUUUACUUACCAUAAACAUUUAAAUUAAAAUACAACAAAUAAUAAUUAAAUCCGAAUUAUAAAAAUACAAACCAGAAUUUCUGAGCUACUCCUCGUCGACUUUAUAUUUUCUUUUCUUAGUCAAUGUUUUUGGUACAGUUUUAGCUACGAAAAUUAAAAAAUUUAAAAUUCAUUAAUACCAUACAAUUUCACAUUGAAUAUUUCAAUUUUUAUUCAACUUUUGUCUAAAUUCUAAUUUAGUCCCUAAACCGAGACUAACUUUAUUUCUUCAAAACUAAUUCCAUAUUUUCAUUCAAUUUCCACUUUAGACUAAAUUCAACUCUCUAAUUUCACUCAAAUCCCUAAUUUUUUAAUUUUUUACAAUUUAGUCCCUAAUACUCAAAACUUAUAAUUUAUUUUACAAUUCAAUCCCUUUUACAUUUCUAACUUAAAAUUCUAUCAAUUUAAUCUCAAAUACUUAAAUUAUUCAACAUGACAAUCUGAAAGAGUAAUUCAAGUCUUGGAAGACAUGUUAAGAAGUUGUGUGAUUGACUUUGGGCUAAAUUGGGAAAGAUAUCUCCUUUUGGUUGAGUUUGCAUAUAAUAUUAGUCAUCAUGCCAUUUUGGGUAUGUCACCAUUUGAAGCUCUGUAUGGAAAAAAGUGCUGAAUGCUCACGUGUUGGAUGGAGCUCAGUGAAAGGAAAUUGGUAGGUCCUGAGUUAGUUCGAGAAAUAGUAGAAAAAGUUUCUGCCAUUCGAAAUAAUCUGAAAGUUGCCAAAGAUGGCCAGAAAGCUUAUGCUAAUCUAAAAAGGAAAGAUAUCUCAUUUGAAGUUGGUGACAAAGUAUUUUUAAAAGUUUCUCCUUGAAAGAAAAUUAUAAGCUUUCGUCAGAAAGGAAAGUUAAACCCACGUUUUGUAUUACCGUAUGAGAUUUUAGAGCAAGUUGGACCAGUGGCUUAUAAGUUGGAAUUACAACCAGAGUUAUUGAAGAUUCAUAAUGUGUUCCAUGUUCCUAUAUUGAGAAGGUAUCGAUCAAAUCCAAAUCAUUUUGUGCAGAUCGAAGACUUAGAAGUAGAACCAAAUAUGUCAUAUGAAGAAGAGCUUCUUCGAAUCUUGGUAAGAGAAGUGAAAGAGCUAGGAAAUAAAAGAAUUCUUUUAGUGAAAGUAUUAUGGAGGAAUAAUAAUACAGAAGAAGCUACUUGGGAAAGAUAAAGUUUAAUGAAAGAGCAGUAUCCUCAACUUCUCGUUGGUACGAAUUUCAAGGGUGAAAUUUUCCAAGCGGAGGAGAAUUGUAAUAGCCCGCCCGGCAGAGACUCGGUAUUCUGUUAUUGUUUGACGUAUAAAUGGUAAAUUAAGUAUAGAAUUUAGUAAGUAAAGUAUUAGUUCCGACUAAGUAGAGAACUUUGUGGGAUUCGUCAUUUGGCGAACUCUAUGUUUUGGCGGACUCUUUUGUUAAAUAUCCACCUAUCCAAAUGUUUUGGUCGAACUUGUUAAGUUCGCAGUUUUGAUUAGCUUAUUUUAUUUAGUGGUUGGUGACUAAAUUAGUUAUGUUUGGAUUUAGUUGAGAUUUAGUUGGAAGUGAACUAGACUAUUGUAGAAUGAUUAGACUUAAAACUUGUUAAGCGCAUUUAAUUGCGGGAAUCAAGGGUUUUAGUGGAAUUAUCUGAUUUCUCCAAUAAACAUUGUCUCUAUUGCUUGGUAUAUAAGAGUAUCUGUGGUUAUCAUGAGACACCUUUACAUCUUCUUCUUUCUUGAAUUUCUUUGUAACUUUCUAAAAAACCUAAGUUUAAAAUAACUUCAUCGAGGAGAAGGUUCCCAAUGUUUAGAUAAUGUCAAUAUUAGUACCAGCUUACUGGUAAUUUCUGGUGAACCCUUAGGUUAUUAUAGAAGUAAGCUACAUAUUUAUCGUACUACAUGCAUAGAUGUUAGAAUUGUUUGUGAGGAAGGAAAUUUACUGAUCCACUAAUACAGAUUUCCCCAAUGGACUGGACACCACUAUUGAUACUCUAGACAUCUCAAACUUCAAACUUCCCGACUCAACCAAUUUAGUAUUAACAUAAGAAUGUGAAGAUACCAAAUCUAUUAAAGCGUAAACAGGUUUUGAAUGCAAUAAAAAUAUACCUGUCACAACAUCAUUGGUAUCACCCACCUCACGGGUCCAAUACUCAAUUAUCACAUAAAUCACAAUUUCACAUACAUUCAAUUCAAUAUAAAAAAUGCUAACACUUACAUUAUUUACUUACCAUAAACAUUUAAAUCAAAAUACAACAAUUAAUAAUUAAAUUCGGAUUAUAGAAAUAUAAACCAGAAUUUUCGAGCUACUCCUCGCCGACUUUAUCUUUUCAUUUCUUAGUCGAUGUUUCCUGUACAGCGUUAGCUAUAGAAAUUAAAACAAUUAAAAUUCAUCAAUACAAUACAAUUUCACAUUGAAUAUUUCAAUUUUUAUUUAACUUUUGUCUAAAUUCUAAUUUAGUCCCUAAACCGAGACUAACUUUAUUUCUUCAAAACUAAUUCCAUAUUUUCAUUCAAUUUCCAAUUUAUACUAAAUUCAACUCUCUAAUUUCACUCAAAUCCCUAAAUUUCAAGAUUUUUACAAUUUAGUCCCUAAUACUCAGAACUUAUAAUUUAUUUUACAAUUCAAUCCCUUUUCCAUUUCUAACUUAAAAUUCUAUCAAUUUAAUCCCAAAUACUUAAAUUAUUCAACAUGAACAACAUCUAAAAAUCUAAUAUUUUCUAAAAUUUCAACAUAGGUUAAGUAGUAUUUAAUACUAGGAUUCUAAAAACAUAAAAAUUACAAGAAAAGGGACUAAAUUGACUUACCAAUUAAGCUUUGAACCCUUGAAAAUCCUAAUUUUUUUCUCCUUUUUCUUUCUUCUUUUCUUUUUCUUUCUCUCUUUUUCUUCUCUGUUUCGUUCUACUUUGUUCUUCUUUUUCUAUUCUUUUUCUUUCAUUUAUUUUAUGUUUUAAUUAUUAUAACAAUAUAUUAUAAGAAUAUAAGAAUAUUUACUUAAAUAAUAAGUAAGUAAUAAUUAUUAUAAAUGUAUGUAUUUAAAUGUUACAUAUGUCAUUACGAAUACCACACACUUGUUAAUUUGAGGUUUAAUUACUUAUUUUGUCCUUUCACUUUUCUCUAAUGUAUAAUUUAACUUUCUCCCUAUAUGCAAUCUAGUCCUUACACCUAAUUACUCUUAAAUUAAGAAAAUUCACCUAAUCAAAAUCUAAUUAACAACACAACUAACUUCGUAAAUAUUUUUAAUUCGUAAAUAUUUUUAAUAAAUAUUUACGAAUCUAUUUUCUGAAAAUAGAGACCUGAAAAUACACUUUUCGAUACUCGUAACUAUCGGGUCGUUACAUUUAUACCGAUCCUUGCAUGCAUGUUAAGUAAUCUGCUAUGUAGAUUUGUACUAGAUAUUUUUAUCUUUCUUUUAGCUCAAGAAGCUAAUAAGGGUCCCAGCGAUAAAGGCAAAGGAUCUGCUGUGUAGAUUUGUACUAGAAUUUCUAGUGAGUUCCUUCUUAUCUCCAUGUGUUGUAAAUUUCUUUUAUUAUAUAAAUUGUGUAAGGUAAGUAAUCUUUCUUUGUAAUGUAUGAAUGGUAAAUGUGUGGGUAAUGGUCAUUCAGUGUUAUCAGUCUGAGUUUAGUCAGUCUGUGUUAUGAAGUAAACAUCAUCUUUCAUGCUUAAGCUAGUACCAACAGUUUGUGAUAUGUAAGAUAUGAUCUGUGUUGAUGGAGAAGGGGAGAUAUGUUUGUGAUGCCUUCGGUAAGACAGCUAUAUUACAAACUGCACUGACAAAUCACAAGAAAACAUACUAUUGUAAAUGAAAAUGAUAUAAGGAGUUAAAGGGGAGUAUGUAUGUGAAUGAGACUGUAUGAUAUGCUCCUAACUUUGAAUUUUGGAUACGUGGCUGGCAUGAGGAUGGGUUGUCUAUGUCGGGUUAUGUUGGCAUACAAUAUCUGCCCAUGUGUUAUGUAAAUUGGCAUAUUAAAUCUGUCUGUGUUCUGUGAACGCUAGUGGGUGUAUUAUGAUCUUAAUGGUUAUAUAGAUGAAGGCCAAAAGCAUAAAGUUUGCAAGUUACUAAGGUCCAUAUAUGAACUUAAGCAAUUAUCCCGCUUAUGGAACUAAAGAAUUUGAUCAAGUCAUAUAUGAAUCAUGACCCAAAACUAAGAAAGUCACGACUUUCCCAUUGUGUGAAAGAAACCAAAAAGGGAUAAAAAAAGUAGCAAAGGUUGAAGUGCCUUCGUAUUAUGUUAAUUUGAACGUUUUUUCCAUGUAGUUCUUGUGUGACCACACUAAGCCAAGGAUAAAGAGACCAUCAUCUCUCACCUCCACUAAUUUAAUCAAUUACUCUCUCAACCUAUCGAAUUCUUCGUGUAAAAGUUCUCCCAUGUUGUGAACCAUCAAAUGAAAGAAGUAAGAAAUAAAGCGUGAGAGAAAAAUAAAACCCUUCGAAUACCCAAUUCCAGAAGUCAACAGUGGCACCAGAUAGAACCACAAGCUAACUUUGAGAGAGAACAAAUCUUAUUAGAGUUUUUCGAAAGGGUAAUUGUUAACAUGAGCAAUGGAAAAUUCUUAGAGGUCUUGGUAACAUUCCAUCUUCUCUAAUAACCAAUCUCUAUAUCGAAAAUUAGAUUUAACAAUCAUGUACUUCUUUUUUUAUGCAUUUUAAAGUGUCGUAAUUGCAAGUUAAAAUCUCACUAGGUGAGAAUAAGGUAGCAAUCUCUCACUCACACAUCACAUCACAUCAAUUCCAGUCAGAUGAAAAAGUCUAAAAAGGGUUCUAACCAAUAAGUGUUUGUUGCAAGAAGAAAUGGAUUGCCACAAAUAUUCAAAGUUCAAAGUAUUUGAUGCCUAAGCAACUUGCUGACAUUUGAAAAUUUUUUAUUCUUUCGUAAGUUUUCAAAAGUUAUAGCACAAGCUUUGGAAUUUUUAAUCUCUUUUUCCACAAGUUACAUAUUUUGGUCAUUGCUGUUUUUGUUUGACCAUAUGAAAGUACUUCUAAAUCUCAUUUUCUCACAUAUCAAAUAUAUUUAUUACCUAUCUUUAAAUUUUUAAUUUUAUUAUUCUAAUUUCAUUUUCUUAGAAAAAAAAUAAUCGAUAAAAAAUAAAUUAAAAAAUAAAUUAAGGUAAGGAGGGCAAUUAGGGUACUUGUAAUUUCUUGAAGGUUAAAAGAUUAAAAGAAAAAGAAAAGCAAAAGAAAUACGUAAGGAAAGAGAAAAAGAUGAGAAAUGUAAAUAUAUUUGUAUAAGAUAUUAUAUAAUUUAUAUAAAUUUUGACAUGUGUGAAUUUUGAUAUUUUAUAUUUGUUUCAUAUUUAUAUUAUUUUUAUCAAAGUUUAUUAGAAAUUCUUGUGUUACUAUGUAAAGUUUAUUUUAAUCUCUGAAUUAAAAAUUAUUCACAUUAAUUUUUAUACAUUAAAAAUUAUUCAAAUCAUAAAAUUAUUACAAUUUAUUAUUAAAUUAAAUUUUCAAAUAAAAUAUAUCAUACGAUUUAGUCAUGACCAAAACACAACCCAUAAAAAACACAAUUAUCUCAAAAAAAAAAAGAAAUCAUAUAUUUUUAAACUAUAAUUUUAGUCAUGUUUUAAAUUUUUGUGUGUAGCCAUGUAUCAAAAUUUGCAAAGUCUAGCUGACAGUGACACUAUUAAAAUAAGAUCUGAAUUUAUCGUCAUGUAAUUUUUUAUUAUAAUUGUAUUUAAGAUAUAUAUUUAUAUUUAUAUUUUAUAAAAUUUAACGCCAAUAGUUUUUUACAUGGAUUUUAAAAAUUAUUUAUUUGUAUUGUAUUUUUAUUAUUUCUUGUAUUAUAUCAUGUCCAAUAUUAUUUAGUGUAAUCAUUCAUAUAUAAUAAGCUACACACUAAGUCUGUCGUUUGCCACGGUCUUCGUUUGUCGUUUGGCACGUUUAUCUUCUUUUGGUUUUGUGUGGUUUUUACAGUGUUUUCUUCUCGUGGGGUUGUUAGGGGUUCUGCUUUGUUUUGUUUUCUGGUUUUAUGGAGGACGAUUUGGCGAAUCUAGCCUUGGCAGAUGAGGAAGAACAGGAUUUCCAGGAGAAUGCGGCGGUGAUUGAUCAAAAUCUACAACUCUGUUUGGUAGGACGCUAUUUGACGGAUAGUAUUGUUCAUUUUCCUUCACUUCGUAAUACUAUGGCAGAUUUAUGGCAUCCAAUUAGAGGCAUCUGCAUUUUAGAUUUGGGAGAAAGACGUUUUCUUUUUCAAUUUUUUCAUGAGGUGGAUAUCCGAAGAGUUCUUGCGGGAACGCCAUGGUUUUUUAACAAUCACCUGUUAUUACUUCAUAGGAUCCAGUCUGGCGAAAAUAUUUCACUUGUUCCUUUAACUUUCACUGAGUUUUGGGUCUAAGUCCAUGAUCUCCCUCCAGGGUUGAUGUCAGAGUCACUGGCUAAACAGUUUGGGGAGUUUUUGGGCCAGUUUCUGGAAUAUGAUACGUCUGUUCGGUCGGUAAAUUCCCAUUCUUUUAUGCGCAUUCGAGUUCAAUUAAAUGUGGUUGUUCCUUUGAAACGUAAAAAGAAAGUAAUGGUUGGAUCUGACAGGAUUUUCUAUGCUCGGUUUCAGUAUGAAAAAUUAAGUCUCUUUUGUUUUAUUUAUGGGAAACUUGGGCAUGGGAGAGCUUUUGCCCGGUUCGAAUUAGGAUUGAUCCAGAGAAAAUAGUAUUUGGUUGGGAUAUAUCCAUCUGUGCGGUGGUGAGGCGGCGCUCUGUCUCUGCUAGUCGGUGGCUUCGGGAAGUUGAUGGGGUCGACAGCAAAUGGAUAGAAAAAGAAGGGGAAUUUCAAGGUAAUUUUUUUGGAAUUUUGGAAAAUUCUGGGAAAUUUCGCUGGAAUGAUUGGGGUCAUUUUCAUAAAAAUCCUAAUUUUACUCUAGGGGGAGUUGAUUGUGUGGCGGGAAAAACUGGUUUGACUAUUUGGUCAAAUGGGGCAAAUCGAUCAAUUAAUGAGACGAUGGUGGGUCGAGGGCCCAUGGAUUUGAACUUAAAUGAUGAAAAUGAUACGCUUCAUGCUUCGGAUGGGAAAAAAUGGCAGUGUAGGAUUACUGAUUCAGUCUCUUGUUUGGGUAAUUUUUCUGAUGAAACAGUUAAUGAUUUAUCGACUGGCUCUACUGGGCAGAGCAGCUGGGCACCAUGAAGUUGCUAAGUUGGAACGUCCGUGGUUUGGGGAGACCUCAGACGGUGAAUAGGCUCCGUAAUAGAUUAAAAGCCUUUAAUCCCUGUAUUUUGUUUCUUAUUGAAACAAAACUCAGUUCGAAAAGGAUGGAGAUGGUGCAUUUGAAGUGUGGUUAUUAUAAUGGGAUAGAUAUUGGGGCAGUGGGUUUGAAGGGAGGCUUGUCGUUGGGUUGGAAUGGUAAUGACCUUGUUUCGAUUAGAAGUUAUUCAUCCUAUCAUGUGGAAGCGAUAAUUCAUGACCUUGAUAAUAGAGUUGCAUGGAGGCUAAUGGGCUUUUAUGGCAGCCCUGAUGAACGUUAUAGAUGGGCUUCUUAGAAUCUUCUUCGUAGUUUGGGGCAUGAUCAGUCUAUGCCUUGGUUGGUGAUUAGCAAUUUCAAUGAAAUCUUAAGCUCGUUUGAGAAAAAAGGAGGCCGCCUUAAAUCGGCACGUCAAAUGGUCGAGUUUUGAUCUACUUUAGAAGAUUGUUUACAUUAUGAUGUCGGUUAUACUGGUAGAUGGUUUACUUGGGAACGGGGGCGAUUUUUAUCUACAAACUUGCGGGAACAACUGGACAUAGGUGUUGCUACUCCUAAUUGGUUGCAUCUUUUUCUGGAUUUUUCAUUGGAACAUUUGAGUCAUUCAUUUUCCGAUCACUGUUCGUUGUUGCUAAAUACUAUGGGUAAGAUGCGACAAAAGGAAAUUUGUUCUGUUUUUCCCUUUCAUUUUGAAGCUAAAUGGUGUUUGGAUGAUUCUUUUGAGAAAGAAGUUCAGCGGGGGUGGACUGGUCAUCAUGGUAGCCUACCAUCUAAGUUAACACAUUUGGGACAUUUUUUCCAAAAUUGGAGUCGUUCACGUUUUCAUUAGCAAAAGGGUCAUCAUUUGAGCUUGGAAAAAAGGCUUUAUGUACUGUUGGAACAAGAUCCAACAAAUGAAAUUUUGGGAGAAAUUUUGGAGGUGCAACUUUGGUUGAAUUUUAAAGCAGACAAAGAGGAGGUUUUUUGGGCUCAGCGUGCCCAACUAAAUUGGUUUCAGUAUGGCGAUAGGAAUUCUUCCUUUUUUCAUAGGAUGGUGUGGCUCGUCACAAUCGCAAUCAGAUGCUUGGGUUGGAAGAUGAUUCUGGCCAAUGGGUUACGGGUACAAAGGAUAUGAUGAGAGUUGCUGUGAAAUAUUUUGAAAACCUUUUUACAGCUUCUGACUUGGGAGGUGAUGAUAAGGUGUUUGGCCUUGUUGAAAAAAGGAUCUCUAGGAAUAUGAAUGAAAACUCCUUCAAAAAUUCACAAAAUAUUAUAUUUGGCUAGCAGUCAAGUCAAUGGCGCCAUUGAAGGACCCAGGAUCUUAUGGUUUUCCAGCACUGUUUUUUCAGCGAUUUUGGCAUAUUGUUCGUGAUGAGGUAUCCAAUUUUUGUUUGGAGGUUCUGAACGGUAGAAGGGAAAUGGGCAAGAUUAAUAAAACACAUGUGGUUCUUAUCCCCCAAAAUUGAUAAGCCUAAAGAUCUUUUGCAGUUUCGUCCUAUUAGCUUAUGUAAUGUUCUCUAUAAGAUUAUUGCUAAAGUUAUCGUUGAUCGUAUGAGCCCUUUUCUAGGCUUCUGUAUUGAUGAAACUCAAGGUGCUUUUAUUAUUGGCAGGUAAAUUUUGGAUAAUACCCUUAUAGCCUAUGAGGUUAUUCACUUCCUCAAAAUGAAGAAGAAGGGUAAACAUGGGAAUUUUGCACUUAAGCUUGAUCUUAGCAAAGCUUAUGAUCGGGUGUAAUAGGAUUUCUUGGCCAGAAUAUUGUCCAGAUUGGGCUUCCAUCAAGACUGGUUGGUUCUUAUCAUGCAUUGUGUCUGCUCAGUCACUUAUACGGUGGGCAUUAAUGCUGAUGUUGGUGAGAGUUUUGUUCCGUCUAGAGGCUUACAGUAGGGGGAUCCUCUUAGUCCCUAUCUUUUCCUCCUUUACUUUCUUGUUUGUUGAGGGAGACUAAGAUUAAAAAUGAGCUAAAGGGAGCUCUAAUUGGUAGAAGGAAUUUCAUGCUUAUGAUCGGGUGCAAUAGGAUUUCUUGGCCAGAAUAUUGUCCAGAUUGGGCUUCCAUCAAGACUGGUUGGUUCUUAUCAUGCAUUGUGUCUGCUCAGUCACUUAUACGGUGGGCAUUAAUGCUGAUGUUAGUGAGAGUUUUGUUCCGUCUAGAGGCUUACAGCAGGGGGAUCCUCUUAGUCCCUAUCUUUUCCUCCUUUGCUUUCUUGUUUGUUGAGGGAGACUAAGAUUAAAAAUGAGCUAAAGGGAGCUCUAAUUGGUAGAAGGAAUUUCAUGAUAACUCAUUUUUUGUUUGCUGAUGAUUGCAUCAUUUUUGGUGACGCAUCGGUUGAGGGUGCUUGCUCUGUCCGUAAUAUCUUAAAGGAAUAUGAGUUGGUCUCAGGGCAAAAAAUUAACUUGGGAAAGUCAUUAAUCUAUUUUGGUGCGAAUGUGGAUGAGGCAGUCCGUUCUUCGAUCAUUGACAUUAUGGGUGUUAGAAGGAAAACGAACCCUGAAAAGUAUUUGGGUCUGCCAAUGAUGAUUGGGAGGAAGAAGAGAUGGGCCUUUUCAAAUUUUGCGGAUCAUUUUCGAAAGUGCAUUGCGGGGUAAAGUUUUAGGUAUCUUUCAAUGGGCGGAAAAAGAAGUGUUUAUUAAGGUAGUUCUUCAAGCUCUUCUGAUCUAUAUUAUGCAAUGUUUUGCGUUACUUAAAACCUUUUGUCAUCAACUUGAAGGAAUAUUGAAUAAGUUUUGGUGGGCUAAUAAUAAGACAUCUAAAGGAAUCCACUUGAGUACGUGGAAUGCGCUUUGUUUACCGAAGGUUUAUGGUGGGAUGGGUUUCUGUGACCUUUGUUUGUUUAACAAAGCCCUUUUAGCCAAGCAAGUUUGGCGAAUUUUUACUCAGCAUGAUUGUCUCCUUUCGAAAGUGUUUAAGGCUCGUUCUUUUCCAUCAUCUGAUAUUUUUUCAGCUAAAGUGGGGUCUUACCCUUCUUUUACCUGGAGGAGCAUUUGUAGUGCCAGGGAUGUGUUUGAUGAUGGUCUUCUGUGGCGGAUAGGUAAUGGGGCGAAGGUGAAUAUCUAGAAUGAUCCCUGGAUACGGGGUCCUGGAAAUGGUCGUCUGUUAGUUCAUUCUAUGGAUAUUAACUGGACCAUUCUGGAUCAAUUUUUAAAUGAAGAGUCUGAUACCUGGAAAAAGGAGGUGAUUUAUAGACUGUUUGAUGAUAAGCAAGCUCGGUGUAUCCUCAACAUCCCCCUUACUGGGAGUGGGUCUUCAGAUAUGCUCGUUUGGUGGCAUGAUGCAUCCGGGGAAUACUCAGUGAAGAAUGGGUAUAGGUCUUUGCUUACAAAUGUGAUUCAACAAACAGUUACAACUGGUCAUACUAUUGAGAAUUACAAAAACAUUUUUACAUCAAUUUGGGAUCUCCAGAUCCCUGCCAAGAUGAAAAUUCAUCUCUAGAGCCUCCUUAAGAACUAUGUGCCUUAUUUUUUGAAUUUGGUUCAAAGGAGACUGCGUGUUGAUUCUGUGUGCCCAUUGUGCAAGACGGAAGCGGAGGAUCCACACCAUUUAUUAUGGUAUUGUACUGUCCUGCGGCAGCUCUAGUUUCAUUUGCAACUCUCUCUGGACUUCAGCAUUUAUACCUCGAAUGGAAAAAUAAAUUUUGUAACUGUUUUUCUUGCAAUGGAUAUGAAUUCUAAGAAACUCAUUGCUAUCUCUUUGUGGGCCCUUUGGUAUAAGCGAAAUAAGCUUGUUAAUGAAGGCCUAAAAUUUAAGUUGCCGCUAGACGAAAUAAGAAACUCAUUGCUAUCUCUUUGUGGGCCCUUUGGUAUAAGCGAAAUAAGCUGGUUAAUGAAGGCCUAAAAUUUAAGUUCCAUGAAACUGUGGGUUUUAUACAGAGCUAUGUCCAAGAUUUAAGUUUCUAUAAAACUAAAGGUCUGUCCCCUGUUACGAAAAGGAAUGUUUUGUGGAGACCUCCUAAGUCUGGGGUUAUCAAGCUAAAUUUUCACGCCUCUUUUGCGAGUAACACUAAUUUCUCUAUCUCAGCUGUGUUAGCUAGGGAUUCCGUGGGUCAGAUUAUGGGUGCAUGUUCUUACCCAUUGUUGGAUGUAACAGACACUUUUGUGGCUGAGGCGAGAGCUUGUGAGAAGGUUCUUUGUUUUGCUUUGGAUAUGGGUUUUAGGAAGGUUGUCCUGGAGGGCGAUUCUCUUAAAGUUAUCAAGAAAUUAAACUCAAAUAUUGUUGAUAGAUCUGUUCUCAGUCCUAUUUCUCAGCACAUUCAGGUUUAGCUGGAUGUUUUGAAGAGGUUACUUACCUUUUUGUUCCCAGUGAGGCAAAUAAGGCGGCUCAUGAGUUGGCGAUGGUUGGCCGGAAUCUGAAAUUGCCACGCUUCUGGGUUGAAGAGGCACCCUUAUCUGUUAUUGAGGCGGUGGAGUCGGAUCACUAUGAGUGGUUCCAUCGUUGCUGAAUUUGUUGUGGGUUUUGAAGCUUGGAGAAGGUUCUUAGAAUCUCCUUGGUUGAUUUUCAAAGCCCUCCUCUUUCCGACUCUUGGAGUUCUACAUGUUGUUCGUUCUAUCGGAAGUUUUCUGCUGGUAUUCUUUUGGGUUUUUUGGCUUUGGCUUUGGUUUUGUGGUUGUUUCGUUUUCAUCUGUCCUUUGAUGGUCUACUUUCCAGCUUUUUGGUUUUGCUGCGUUGUUGGUUGGAUGUUGUCAGUCGUUGUCUUGAGUCAUUCGCUCGUUUUAAAUGAAUAUCAGCUUUAUUUCAAAAAAAAAAAAGCUACACACUAAAAUUGCUACAAGUGAUGCAACUAUGUUUUUUUAAUGUAAUUUAUAUUUUUUAAAAAUAUUUUUAUAUUUUUAUUAUCCAUU
rnacentral:lncRNA from 1 species